AGCCAUCCAGGGAAAGGGGUGGGACUAAGGCAAUGGGCGUGGCAAACCGAAGGAGGCAGAGGUAGUAAAGAGAGCCAACCGUUAUAACUGAGGGAGGGCUUCUCAGACGUGGUUGGAGGAGAAGGGGUGGAGCUAGGAAAGAGGUACGGAGUUAAUGUGGGAAGGAGGAGCAGGACCAAGGAGACACUGAGAACCAGAAAUUAGUACUGAAACUGGAGAGCACCCCAAAUGGAAACAGCAGCCACCAUCCUCCACAGGGCCUGCCGGGACCACCCUGCAGGGUGGUGGCCUGGGAGAGGACCCCAUGCCACAGCCAGGGCCCAUGUGAGAUGGUGUAUAGAGGGACUGUGCUUUGGGGCUGCCAUCACUGCAGAUACCUGAGGGGAAGGUGCCAGCUCUUCUGUCCCCACCCCAGAAUCUGCUGUGCACCGAAGGCAGAGGACUCUAGGGUGGCCUGACCCAGCCAGGGCUGUAGGGUGAAGCCCACCUGCCUCCAGCUGCACAGUUGGCCACAGAACAUCUGGAAUACCUGGCCAAGCCUGGGAGGCAGCUCUUACCAAUACCCUCCACGUGCCCUGUAGAAUUUCCACCGUGUUCACUGAGAGCACUCUCCAUCAGCAAAAAGGAUCCAUGGUGCUGCUCAUUCUGGCCACUGGUCCCCACUCCUUACGAAGGCAUCUCCCUCAGAACAUGGUCUCCAAGGGCCCGAGGGUGUGUCCUCACAGAACAUUCUGCACAGCAAGACUAGCAGGUUGCUAAAGCUGGAAGCUCCUUGAAGCUUUUCCAGCGGCCCCUUUAGAGGAAAUUCAGGGUCGCUGAUCAAUUUCAGUUACUUCGCAAUACAAAACUUCAAGCUUGCUGCCUUGUUAACAACAAUCGUCAACAUUUGUGUGUCUCUUCAUGGCAUACACAUGCACUCUCACAUCUAUUAUUUCAUCUGUUUUCACAAUCCAUCUCGAGGAUAAGGAAACUGAGGCAGGGAGGGGCCUAGGCUUGAACCGUGGUCCUCUGAGUCUUAGUCUGACUCCCACCUCUGGACCCAACUGCUUCUCAUCCUGUGUGGCAUGAAGUGUCACUGAUUUCUAGAUUGUAACAUUGUAAAGUCGCUUUUAGAUCCCUGCAACAAUAUUGUAUUACCAAAGUGAAGGAAAUGGCACAUUUUGAUUGCUGUAAUUCUUACGUUUUAAAUAAUCAACACAAAAAUGUUUUCAAUUCUUCUUGACAUAAAAUCUCCCCAUAUCUUUUGACUCUUCCAUCAAACAACUGUUUUUAACAUUUUAGCUUAGAAUAAUAAAACUGGAAGGAGCUUGGGGCCACUAUACAGGUAAGAAAUUAAAAUGCAAAAGGGAAGAAACAUCUUUGAUCCAGGGGUGAGGGAGGUCUAGUGCCCAAGUAAGUCCAGGAUUCCACAUGCUCUGUGUUUGCUGAAGCAUGUUAGUUCACUACCUGACCUGAACUUCUAAUUCCUACAGGAGUCACAACAAGACAAGAUCGGGUCAAAUGGGCUGAAGUAAAAGGUCUCCAUGCGGGUUAAAUGAAAAAAGCAAGCUACAGACUACGCAUAAUGUACCCC
rnacentral:lncRNA from 1 species